UCCUCCCUCCGCUCCUUGCUUCCCUCCCCCUCCCUCCCUUUCUGCCCUUCUCUCUCCUCUUUCUCCCCUUUCCCAUCUCCCUCUGCCUUCCCCUGGCACUCUCUCUCUAGAACGGGCAGCUGCUGCUGCAGUGGGAGGAGCCCUGGCAGUGGGGGCUGUGCCCGUGGUGCUCAGUGCCAUGGGCUUCACUGGGGCAGGAAUCGCCGCGUCCUCCAUAGCAGCCAAGAUGAUGUCCGCAGCAGCCAUUGCCAACGGGGGUGGUGUUUCUGCGGGGAGCCUGGUGGCUACUCUGCAGUCCGUGGGGGCAGCUGGACUCUCCACAUCAUCCAACAUCCUCCUGGCCUCUGUUGGGUCAGUGUUGGGGGCCUGCUUGGGGAAUUCACCUUCUUCUUCUCUCCCAGCUGAACCCGAGGCUAAAGAAGAUGAGGCAAGAGAAAAUGUACCCCAAGGUGAACCUCCAAAACCCCCACUCAAGUCAGAGAAACAUGAGGAAUAAAGGUCACAUGCAGAUGCAUC
rnacentral:lncRNA from 1 species